rnacentral:rRNA from 1 species
CCUACGGGUGGCAGCAGUGGGGAAUAUUGGACAAUGGGCGCAAGCCUGAUCCAGCCAUGCCGCGUGUGUGAUGAAGGCCUUAGGGUUGUAAAGCACUUUCGCCGAUGACGAUAAUGACUGUAGUCGGAGAAGAAGCCCCGGCUAACUUCGUGCCAGCAGCCGCGGUAAUACGAAGGGGGCAAGCGUUGUUCGGAUUUACUGGGCGUAAAGCGUACGUAGGCGGAUGAUUAAGUCAGGGGUGAAAUCCCGGGGCUCAACCUCGGAACUGCCUUUGAUACUGGUCGUCUUGAGUCCGGGAGAGGUGAGUGGAACUCCUAGUGUAGAGGUGAAAUUCGUAGAUAUUAGGAAGAACACCAGUGGCGAAGGCGGCUCACUGGCCCGGAACUGACGCUGAGGUACGAAAGCGUGGGGAGCAAACAGGAUUAGAUACCCCAGUAGUC